AUGUAUGUAGCCCAGCCUGUCCUGUAUUGGAUCAUAAUUCUGUGCUUUAGGCAGGAAACUCAAGCCAAACCUACGAUCUCUAUGGUGAACAGAAUCAGAGUGGCACUAGCAGGAGAAACUCUUCAUUUCGACCUGUCCGUGUGCAUCCCAGCAAACACCACUAAUAAACUUAAAUUGUACCAUACUCAGAGCAGCAGGACAAUUUGGAGUCGAGAACUUAAAAGUGAAUUUUUUGAAACUACAAAGUUGGAGACGGCACGUAUCAAAAUGCACAAUAGCUCCAGUUCUGGCAAUUACUACUUUUCUUAUACAGAUCAGAAAGUGUAUUUGGUGAUUCAUGUUAGAGACAAAGGUUAUCAGCAGCCACCUGAGGAGUUAGGCAGUGCCAUCAUCACAAUGAUGGCAUUCUCAGGAAUUCUGCUCAUCUUCAGUGUUGCUGGUUCACUUCUCAUAUUAAAAAGCUACAAGGAACACCCUGCUUGUAGAGAUGACAAAAAUGAGCAGAGGCCAGGAGGGAGUGAUGAAGUGAUACUGGAUAAGGAUGCUGCAUCUGCACCACUCUACACAGCACUACUAUACAGAUCAAGCUCCAUUUAUGAUACAACGCAUCCAGACGUGAUGCAUGAAGAAAACACAAAGAAGAAAACAUCUGAUAAAAAGGUUUGUUUUAUAAAUGGUGUAAUAUUAUAUGACAUUAUAGCCUAUAAUGUAGACCUACAUAGCUUUAAGGUAUUGAAUAUAUAA
ensembl:lncRNA